rnacentral:rRNA from 1 species
UACGUAGGGGGCGAGCGUUGUCCGGAAUUAUUGGGCGUAAGGAGCUCGUAGGCGGCUUGGCAAGUCGGAUGUGAAAACUCCAGGCUCAACCUGGAGCCGCCAUUCGAUACUGCUAUGGCUAGAGUCCGGUAGGGGAGUGUGGAAUUCCUGGUGUAGCGGUGAAAUGCGCAGAUAUCUGGAGGAACACCGGUGGCGAAGGCGGCAUCCUGGACCGACACUGACGCUGAGGCGCGAAAGCUAGGGGAGCAAACGGG